GAGAAAACUCGCAAGGAUUGCUAACCCGUGCCUCCAUACCUAAAACUAUGGCU
rnacentral:tRNA from 1 species